AGGAGCUGCGGAAGGAGGGAAAACAGGCAUUAGUUUGUCACGUCUGUGUCAGCGCUGCCACUGUGCAGCUGUCAAUGAAUGUACGGGAAAAGUUAGUUUGCUCUUAAAGUCGGAGCGAAGCCAUUAGUUUCCUCCGCACAAACACGAACACACCGUCAGCUGGAAUGCAGGCUCCCUCGUUUAUCUGCAAGCUUAAAGUUGGACUUUUAUGUUGUUCGGAAAAUUGAGACUCUCAGCUUUCAUAUCAUCUGACUAAUGAUACUCCAUUUCACUAUAAUAUACAAUAUUAAGUAAUGAACCAAACUCUUGCCAAGUGUGCCUCUACAGAUCUCUUCUGUUGCAAAAGUGAUGAUUUAUUUAUUAUUCAGGAAAAACAGCUAAUCGAACUGAGCUGGUCCUACCUGUAAAAAAAUUUACCCUUAAACAUAAUAACUGAAUGGGUACUUUAAGUACCCCUUACCUCUGUGUGGAGGAAUUUAUCCCUCUCUCCUUUGUAAAUUGUUUUCUUUCAGCCACAGAGAAGUUUUCAAGCAUAAAUGAUGGCAAAUCAAUAAGAUUCAAACCCAGGCUUUGACUACGCCACUUCAAAACUCUCCUUUUUGAGCCAUUUAGAGACUAGCUUGUGGUGUGCUUUGGAUCACUGUGUUGGAGUGCUGUUGAGCUUAAGGUAACAAUCUGAUUGUUGGAGAUUCUCCUCCAGGACGCUCUAGGAAAUUAAUCUAUAAAUCUAUCAUUCAGGUCCUGAAGAAGCAAAGCAGCCCCAGCCCACCACACCACCACCGCCAUGUUUCUGCUGGUGCCACUUCUCCUUCCCGACGAUCUGGCGGUGGAAAACCACCGGGGCGGCGCUCAGGCUGAACGAUGUCACCUCUCCCAACCUGCUCUUCACAAAUGGCUGCAGGCAGACAGAAAAAAAAAAGAGGAAUCCCCAUUGAGAGGAGAAACCUGUAGCCGGACCAGGAAUACUUUGGAAGGAAGACGUGAAUUACUUCCGACCAGAAAAACACAGGAAGAAGCUCUUACUGGGGAGAAACCUCUGCAGUUCCCGUCUGGAGCCACAUGUUGCUGUUUAUGUGGCAGUAAACUCUGCAACAGGUGAACAGGUGGAAGGACAGACGGAAAGAAGAGACGCAUGAUUAGGAUGGAGGGAUGGAUGGAUGGAUAAAGAUUUGCAUGGAUAGGUGGAUGGAUGGAAAACUGUAAACGUUGCCAAGGAUGGUCAGAUGGAUGGAUUAAUUUAUGGAUGAAUGAAUGGAUGGACAGAUAAAUUAAUUGAUUAAUGGGUGGAUGGAAGGACGGAUGGAUAGAUGUGUUUAUUUUAGCUCACAGGUUUUAUUCUUUAACGUCUUAUCCUACGUUCAAUUGUUAUAUAAGGGUUUCAUAAAACGUUUGGUCUGAAGUUUUCUUUCUUCUUUUUUUUGUCUUCUGCCUACACUGCCUACAUCUGUAAUGACAACCGGAGGAGGACAGGAGGAGGUGACAUUUUUGCAAAUGGACCCAGGAACUCAGGAAAUAAUUGGGGAGGCAGCACUGACAGGUGUCCAGUCCGAUGCUCCGAGUGACAGCGACGCUGCAGAAGGCUCAUCCACAAAUAAUGAUCCGCUGUCAGAUGUCACAGCCAUUUACAGACACACCUGUAAGCUUGAGACGCAAUUUGCAUGAUGGAGAUCACAACUAUAAAUAGAAUAAAACUCAUUUAUUUCCCUUGUAAACUUUUUUUCCCCCUAGUGUAGCCUUGAAGGAUGGCAAUACUUUCUAAAUGUGAGUAAAUUGUUAGCUUGAAAGCAACAGUUUUCUCGAAUGAAGCUGACCGCUAAUGAAUUUAAAAUGAAAAUAAGAUCAGCAAAAUCAUGUAUUUCAGGCCAUAACACUGCAAAUAUCAGAAUAACUUACCCAGUGGUCAUAAAAUGCAUAAUUUAACCCCUACGGUUAAAACAUAUUGGGAAACAAACUGGUUGUGAUAGCAUUAUUAAAUUACAAUUCUGAUUUUUGCUGUGAUUUUCUUCAAUAUUGUCCUUUGUCGCAAUAUCAGUUCAGUUUUAUUAAUAUCCCAGGGGGAAUUGGUUUGUAGCAUAACACAAAAAGCUGAAAAAAAAAGCAUACACAAUCAUUCUGCUAGAACAGCUCAACUACAAAAAUAUAAGCAGAAAUAAUUUAUCAUGACAAUAUCCAAAUACUCUUAAAUGCUUGUACGUCACAGCUUAUAAUAGCCAGAGGCACUGCACAGGAUGCAAUACGAAAAUGGAUUCCUGUGAGCUUUAGGAAGCGGAUUACUAACAUUUCUAUCAUUUCCUGGCGGUGAAAGUACGGCCAUAUGGUAUCGGCAUGUAAAGCAUGAAUGUGUGAGACUUAGAAAUGAACCUUUUUUUUUGGCGGGGGGCUCUAGUGUUGAAUAAGUUCAAAAGUAGGCUGACAGGAAGGGGGGAAGGAGAGGGGAAGACAUGCGGCAAACGUCGACCGGGUCCGGGAAUCGAACCCGCGACCGCCGCGUCGAGAACUGAAAGCCUCCAAAUGUGGGUCGCGCUAUCCCCUACGCCACCACAGCACGCCCUAAAAAUGAACCUUAACAGUGAGUUCAACCUAAUGCUAGUCACGUUGCACACACAUAUUGAGAUGAUGGAUACGACUGAAUGUAUCGUGAGGCUUCUUACCCUCGCUGAGAUGCUAAGAGGAAAAUCUGGAGAAUUAACUCUAGAACUGGAUCUCCUUUAUGUUUGAGGCCUGGUUCUGGUAAUGCUUCCGCAAGGACCAGGGUGUGUCUCUGCCCAAAGCGGAGAGUUUUAGUACCUUGUUGCCUUGCCUAAGAGGGAUUUGACAGAUUGAGAGUUGGAGUGGUUGCUUUGGUUUGUUGUGCUAAAAAGGAGCUAAGCAGGAAGGCGCAGCUUUCGAUUUAUUGUUACAUCUACUUUACAACCCUCACCAUGACAUAUUGAUCAUAAUAAAAAAUAAAAAAAAGAAUUAGCAGCUGAAAUGAGUUUUCACUGUGGGGUUCUGGGCUCUGCCAGACAGAGGGGAGAGAUUUUGAUCCUCUAGCCUGAAAGGUGUUUCGCUCAUCUGAUCUCAGCGUCGAUAUAGACCAAGAAUUUAGCUUCAAGAAUUCAGAAAAUAGCUUCAAAAUUACUAAAUGUAGAAAUUUUAGUCCUUGAUUUGGCACAUCAAACAGAACCAAUUUGUGUACAUUUUAAAACAGAGUUUAAAUAACUUAGAGCUUAUGGAAAAAUAAGCAGCAAGAUGUCCUUCAGCAAAGCAUAACAUCUCCACUCUUUUCUUUCACAAUGUUCUUACUGCUCUUUAGAAUCUCAGCCACUAAAAUUAUAUAUAUCUACCCUGGGCAUCGAGGGAAGCGAAAGUCUAUCCAACAGCUCAGAUUUAUUAUUGGAGUGCAGAGUUUGCAUCUGUGGAACUUGAAAUAUUACAUCCUACCACAUAUUGCUUCCAAGCGGUCCUUUUGGAUUGCGAUAUUGCAAACACUGAUAUUGCAGUGAUGACUGAGAUUGGAUAUAUAAAAAAAACUCAUUAAUGAGCUGGGCAAAAACUCAACUCAAAAUAGUCAAAGAUAAAGACAAACACAUUUAAAUAAACAUAAAAAGCAGAAAUUUUGAUUUUUGUGUGUGUCUUUGAUAAAUUAAAUACUUUUCUAUAUACAUCAAAAUGAAUAUGAUUAUUACAUACAGACCCUGUAGGUAGUUCUAGGUCUGCCUCUUAAUCUGAGGCAGAGCCAUCCUAAACUAUUUUUUAUUCCUAUCUCACGACCACAGGUGAGGUUUGAAAUACAAACUAAUGAAUUAAGAGGUUCGCUUUCUGAUUCGGUUCAUUAUCAACAACCUGACCAUGAAAGUUCACUGUAAAGUACUUAAAAAUGAGGAAAGUUGAGCAAUAAGGAGCGCUGUGAGGCCUAAAAGAAUAUUUUUCAGUAGAGGAACAAUAUCUGCAUAUCUACUAACUAGUGCAUUCUUUAAGUUUAGUGCCUGAAAUAAGUUAUUUCUCUGAAUCAACAACAACAUAAGAAACCGUCAAAGCAGACGAGACGCAUAAGUAGAAUUGCAAAAUUAUAAGAGGAGCGAAAUUUUAUAAUUGAGAGGCUUUAAGGGGUGUAACAAACAUUAAAGCAUCAUUGGAAAUUACAAAGCUCCCUGCCUGCUGUGGUGUGCUUUCCCCUCAGUUCACUUCGUUUUGCUAACCUUUUCAAAGCUGAGUAACUGGUAGCUAUCAGAUGUCCGUUAAAAACUUCCACUGUGGGUAUGCUUCCUGCGGUUGCUUCAGAUUACUUUCACACUGCUCAUAAACAGCUCUGCAGGUUUGUUUGAGGGAGGA